GACGGAGGAUGCAAGUGUUAUCCGGAAUCACUGGGCGUAAGCGUCUGUAGGUGGUUCGAAAAGUCCACUGUUAAAAAUUGAGGCUUAACUUCAAAGAUGCCGUGGAAACUUUCAAACUAGAGUAUGGUAGGGGUAGAGGGAAUUUCCAGUGGAGCGGUGAAAUGCGUAGAUAUUGGAAAGACCACCGAUGGCGAAGGCACUCUACUGGGCCAUUACUGACACUGAGAGACGAAAGCUAGGGGGAGCAAAUGGG
rnacentral:rRNA from 1 species